GACAGAAGGUAUGUAACAUACAACCAUCCACACACGGAGACCCAAAUCACAGCUAAAUAUCCGAUCACUACUGUGGCUGGUGUGUUGGGCCAAGACAAAAGUACAGAACCUUACCAUAUGACAUGGACCACUCCGGCACAUCAGAAGCCAUACGGCC